rnacentral:lncRNA from 1 species
UGCGCAUGUUCGGUCAUUGACUUUCAGUCCCAUGUCACCAUCACGCGCCACAUUCGUCCACCAAAGGCAUGUUCCUAUGUGCGCGCCCUCAACUCCUUACCAUGAGCUCUACCCAUUUUUACCAAAAUUUAUUGUAAAUUCAAACAACUAAAACUUCAAAUUGCAGAAAUCAUCUUCGAAGUUCACCAAGAUUUCAUUUCAGUCCUUGUAAAAUAUUUUGUUUCACAUUACUCAUCCAACUUAAUGAAUUGGGUGAGUAAACAAAAUUGAUCUACAAGGACAAAAAUGAUACAAAAUAUCCUAAAAUGGUUACAGUAAUUUAGCGUAUAUAAAAUAGGAAAAAUUACACAUAGAGUCAAAUUAUAAGACUAUAUUUUAGGAAGAGACGAAGUUUUUUUAUUUAUUUUAAAGAGGAAUGUGGCAUGAUGUCACGGUUGUUUUUUUUAAUUAUCCUUGCAUUUACAAUUUUACCUCUCUAUGUUUGAAACAUGGGUCUCUUUCUCCUCAUUCUUCUCUAUCCUCUUUUUGUCUUCAUUACUUCUCUCUUUCUCUCUCUCGUUCUUCUUCCUACCUCUCUCAUCCUCGUUCUUCAUCCUACCUCUCCCUCAUCCUCGUUCUUCAUCCUACCUCUCCCUCAUCCUCGUUCUUCAUCGUACCUCUCUUCUCUCUCUCCUCCUCUUCUUUGUAUUGUUUCUUAGAUUUAUGAAUGUUUCUUUUUCUUUUAUGAGAACAAUUGAGAUUUUAUUUUAUUUUUUGGUUUUUUUUAAGUGUUUGAUUUUUUUUAUGAGUUGGAUGCAAUCAUUUUGAAACUGAUCUUGCAAAAGUGCUAAAAUUUUGAAACUCAUAUUGUAGAAGUGUUGAAAAUUUGGAAAUUGAUCUUGCAAAAAUGCUGGAACUUUGAAACUAAUAUUGCAAAAGUAAUAGAAUUUUGAAACUGAUAUUACAAAAAAUUAUGAAAUUGAUCUUGCAAAGGAGCAUGACUAGUGAAAUUGAUCUUGUAGAAGAACAUGAAUUGUGAAACUAAUAUUGCAGAAGUGCAUAAAUUAAUCUUUACGAAUUUAAAAUCAGUUUGAAGUUUAUAAAUGGUGUUAGUUUGUAGUUUUGGUUUGGUUAAGUAAUAAGUCUAUUACAAACAUGUAUGAAAAAUAUCAAAUUUUAGUUUUUUUGUUUUUAGCUAUAUUUUUUAAAAAUUUGAACUUUUGUAUCUCUUUAAAAUAAUUUAAAACUACUUGUAUUUAUAGGCAAAGCUUCCUAUAAAAUAUCAGUAGGUUGUCAACUUUUCAUAAUUUUUUUGCGAACAUAUUUUUUUCAUGAGAAAUAUUAAGACACAAAAGAAAAAGACACAUGUCUACAUAUGAGACGCCCAUCAUGGCAAGAAAGUGAGGGGAGUUGCAUAGAAGAGUACUCUUGAUUGGGAUGAAACUUUUAAGUUAUUAAUUUUUUAACACACAUAUCUUAUUAUUUAUAUAGUGAUACGUGAUGUAUCAUCUCGUGUG